rnacentral:rRNA from 1 species
UUUGAUCCUGGCUCAGGAUGAACGCUAGCGGGAGGCUUAAUACAUGCAAGUCGAGGGAGAAACCAUCUUCGGAUGGCGGAGACCGGCGCACGGGUGAGUAACGCGUACGCAACCUACCCUUAACUGGGGGAUAGCCUUGGGAUAACUGAGAAUAAUACCCCAUAGUUUUCGAUUGUGGCAUCGCGGUCGAAAUAAAGUUCCGACGGUUAAGGAUGGGCGUGCGUCCUAUUAGCUAGUUGGUGAGGUAACGGCUCACCAAGGCAAUGAUAGUAGGGGGCGUGAGAGCGUGACCCCCCACACGGGUACUGAGACACGGACCGACUCCUCGGGAGGCAGCAGUAAGGAUAUGGACAUGGGCGAAAGCUGACCGCCUCCCGCGUGCAGAAGAAGGCCUAUGGUUGAAAUGGUUUUGUAGGAAGAAUAUCUCAUUUUCGGAUUUGCCGUACCUUCCAAUAAGCACGGCUAUUCCGGCAGCAGCCCGGUAUCAGAAGUGCGAGCUUUUCGGAAUCCUGGGUUUAGGUGCAAGCGUUU